CUCACUCUUCUCUGAGCUCGUGGUGAGGUCAAGCGAGGUGAGGCCCGAGGCCUGCUCAUCACAGCGGCCCCGGGAAAAGAGCCUCUUCCGAGACCCAGAAGGAAGGCCAAACCACCCGCACCCCCUGCCUCGACACGCCAGCAUCCUGGGCCUGCGGGAUCCGGGGACCACCCAGGCACCCCAGGACACAGGUCUCACCCGAUCCAGUCAGCGAACUCCAGGGCGUUGGGGACAGUGGCACUCAGGAGGAUGAUGGAGACGUGGUCAGGGAGCAUGAUGAGCACCUCCUCCCACACAACCCCGCGCUGGGCACAGGGGAGACAGGUCCCGGAUGACGUCCGAGCCACUGUACAGCAUGGAGCUGCGGAGGAGAGCCGCGGGCUGACUCCCCACUCCGCCCUCACCCUCACCGGAACCCGGCCCCGCCCUCGCCGGAACCCCACCCCAAGCC